rnacentral:lncRNA from 1 species
CGCACACCGCCACGCCUGACUGGUUUUUGUAUUUUUUGGUGGAGACGGGGUUUCGCCAUGUUGGCCAGGCUGGUCUCCAGCUCCUGACCGCGAGUGAUCUGCCCGCCUGGGCCUCCCGAGGUGCCGGGAUUGCAGAUGGAGUCUUGCUCACUCAGUGCUCAGUGUUGCCCAGGCUGGAGUGCAGUGGCGUGAUCUCGGCUCACUACAACCUCCACCUCCCAGCCGCCUGCCUUGGCCUCCCAAAGUGCCGAGAUUGCAGCCUCUGCCCAGCCGCCACCCCGUCUGGAAAGUGAGGAGUGUCUCUGCCUGGCCACCCAUCGUCUGGGAUGUGAGGAGCCCCUCUGCCCAGCCGCCCAGUCUGGGAAGUGAGGAGCGCCUCUUCCCGGCCACCAUCCUGUCUAGGAAGUGAGGAGCGUCUAUGCCCGGCCACCCAUCAUCUGAGAUGUGGGGAGUGCCUCUGCCCCGCUGCCCCAUCUGGGAUGUGAGGAGCGCCUCUGCCCGGCCGCGACCCCGUCUGGGAUCUGAGGAGUGUCUCUGCCCGACCGCCACCCCGUCUGGGAGGAAUGGGUGAUGGCAGAUGGCUGCACAGAUCCACUCUGAAAAGGGGAGGGCCACCUCCCACAGGCCCCGCCACAUCUAGACUCCAGCUUCCUGAGACAUGAAUCAGAGGAACUCAGCAAUGGAACUCCCAGAAAAAUCCAUCUGAUAACUUCAGCUUUCAAGAUGUUCUUGCAGAAGAUGGGGACAGAGCUCUGGACUUACCCAAAUACCGUGGUAGAAAGUCUAAAAGACUGGGUUCACAGGGCUAGGCAUGGUGGCUCACAACUGUAAUCCCAACAUUUUGGGAGACAGAGGUGGGAGGAUCACUUUGCCACAGGAGUUUGAGGCCAGCUAGGCAAUAUAGUGAGACCCCCAUCUCUACAAUAAAAAUCUAAAAAUUAGCCAGGCAUGGUUGUGUGCACCUGUAGUCCCAGCUCCUCAGGAGGCUGAGGCAGGAGAAUCGCUUGAGCCUAGGGUGUUGAGGCUGCAGUGAGCUAUGAUCACACCACUGCAUCCCAGCCUGGGUGACAGAGCAAGACCCUGAUAUAUAUAUAUAUAUAUAUAUAUAUAUAUAUAUAUAUAUAUAUAUAUAUAUAUAUAGAGAGAGAGAGAGAGAGAGAGAGAGAGAGAGAGAGAGAGAGAGAGAGAGACUGGGUUCACAUCCUGACCCCAGCUCAUAACUUCAUGACUUCAGGCAAGUGGCUUAAUUGCUCUGAGUCCAAUUUCUUCAUCUGUAAAAUGAAUGUAAUGAUUCUUUCUGGAAAGGUCACCACAAGGAUUAAUAAAAACAUCACUAG